AAAGAAACUGGGAUUAGAUACCCCACUAUGCUUGGCAGUAAACCUUAAAUUACACCCAAAUCGCCCGGGAACUACGAGCGAAGCUUAAAACCCAAAGGACUUGACGGUACCCCAAAUCCACCUAGAGGAGCCUGUCCUAUAAUCGAUAACCCCCGCUUUACCUCACCACUUCUAGCUAAUCAGCCUGUAUACCACCGUCGUCAGCUUACCCCGUGAGCGAAAAAUAGUGAGCUUAAUGCCACUUCACCAACACGUCAGGUCAAGGUGCAACUUAUGAGGUGGGAAAAGAUGCGCUACACUCCCUACCCUAGGGCAUACGAAAAACUACCAAUGAAAUCUAGUUUGAAGGCGGAUUUAGAAGUAAAAAGAAACCAGAGAGUUCUUCUUAACUCGGCACUGGGGUGCGUACACACCGCCCGUCACCCUCCUCAAAGUCCCAUUAUAGUUUUUAACUUUAUCAUGACAAAACAGAAGAGGCAAGUCGUAACACGGUAAGUAUACCGGAAGGUGUGCUUGGAACCACAAUAUAGCUUAAC
rnacentral:rRNA from 1 species